rnacentral:rRNA from 1 species
GAUUAACGCUGGCGGCGUGCCUAAUACAUGCAAGUCGAGCGAACGGACGAGAAGCUUGCUUCUCUGAUGUUAGCGGCGGACGGGUGAGUAACACGUGGAUAACCUACCUAUAAGACUGGGAUAACUUCGGGAAACCGGAGCUAAUACCGGAUAAUAUUUUGAACCGCAUGGUUCAAAAGUGAAAGACGGUCUUGCUGUCACUUAUAGAUGGAUCUGCGCUGCAUUAGCUAGUUGGUAAGGUAACGGCUUACCAAGGCAACGAUGCAUAGCCGACCUGAGAGGGUGAUCGGCCACACUGGAACUGAGACACGGUCCAGACUCCUACGGGAGGCAGCAGUAGGGAAUCUUCCGCAAUGGGCGAAAGCCUGACGGAGCAACGCCGCGUGAGUGAUGAAGGUCUUCGGAUCGUAAAACUCUGUUAUUAGGGAAGAACAUAUGUGUAAGUAACUGUGCACAUCUUGACGGUACCUAAUCAGAAAGCCACGGCUAACUGCGUG